AGACUUGUGAGUCCCUGCUGGAGUCAGAAGUUUUAGGCGAAUCCCAGGCGCGCCAAGGAAAGUGCUACAAAAGCCAUCCAUCUUGCAAGCGUUGGUGCCGAGGCGCAACGCUGAGAACGCAAAUACUAAAGGGCGCUGUUCUUUCCUCGUGGAGCUCACAGUCCGCUGGGGAGACCGUGAGAUGACAGCAGAGAAACUAGCGCGAUCAGUAGUACUCAGCGCAAGGACAGCGAGCAGAGAAGGCAAACCUAGUGCUUGCUAAGGAAGACUUCACAGAGGAGUCACACCUUAAAAAAAAAAGGAGGGGUUAUUCCUGCUUUUGCCGUGCUGUGAUCCAGGGCAGAGUUUCUCGUCAACCAGUAAAACAUCCAGUAACACAGCCAAUGGAAAUAAAUGAAUGGGUCUCUGUUUAUAGUGAAGAUUCUUUCGUUCUCCAGCUCCAGGCUUCAUACGGUAAAACUCUCUGGGAAGGAAAGGAACUCAGAGUCCCAUGCAGAAAAUUGUUCAGCUGGAGGGGUAUCAGAAAGAUGGAUUUCCAAAGCCAACUGUUUCCUGUAGUGUGUGGAUCUCUGCAAGCAGAGCCUCAUCUUUCAAUUUCAGCUACAUGAAAGAGGAAGAAAGGGAAAGAUAUAUGUCAUACGUGAUAUACUUUAUGUGGCUUUGAAGACCCCUCUUUUGUGGGGCUACGGCUAAAGAACAUAGUUCCCUGGGAUGGAAUUGGCUCUUCCUAUUUCCCUACUUCAUGAAAACUCCAGUAGAAGACCUUAGAACCUUG
rnacentral:lncRNA from 10 species